UCAAGAUCAAGAUUUAUUAGUUAUCCUGGCUCCUCUCUAACUAAGAUGGCCGUCUGCUUGGCGUCUUUCUUUGUUGCUUUCUUUGUUGCAAAUUGGAAAAUAUACAGCAUAAUGGAGUAUAAGUUACAGAAAUAAUGGAUCUACAGCUUACUGGAUACUUAAAGAUGAAGGACUGCUAUUUUUCACCAACUGACAUUGCUUGUUUUACGUCUGAAAUGAGGGAUACUGCUAACUGUGGAUGUGGUGCCUGGAUUUUCUUAUUCUAAUUGGUAAACUCUUAUUCAUAUGUGAUCUUAUGUAAUCGCAUCUCUUUAUUUAACUAAGUUACAUUAAAAACGCCGAUAUGCGACUGUACUUUGUGAAAACCACUAAGCCAGCCAGGAAAACAUCUUAUUUCUAAAACCAGCGCAUUUGGUAAACAUAAAUUGAACCAAGGAAGCAGUAAGGACCUAUUCCGACAUCAAAAAAGUCACUCUGGUCCAUAGAUUUUUCUUCACAAGAAUACUACAACAAAGAUCUAUUAACAACUAAAUUGGCACCAGGAUUGGUC